ACGUAUACAUUUGUAUGUAAAUAUACAUAUCAGUCAUAAUGUACUUUCCCUGCCAAGCGCAAACAACCGUAAACAAAAGCAACAGAACCAAAAGCACCAAUUACUACAUACACGUGGUUCAGGCCGGCGUUGCGCCAUAUCCAGGCGCUCCGGCUGGCUACCCACCGGCCGGGGCACAGGUGGGCACCACCAACCCGGACAGCCUCUCAAUGGCAGUGGCGGCCAUCAAAACUGAGUCCGUGUCACAAAUGAAGCCCGAAGGUGGAACUGCCGCUUCAGCUGCCGCAAAUGCAGCCACAUCGGCCGCUGCCAUACAGAUGUACAUGCAACAGAAGAAGACAAAUCUGCCAACGGCAUCAUCACAGUUCAACGGCUGCAACAACACAUCCAUCGCAGCGGCCACAGCAACAACUACGACGACAGCGGGUAUCGUGAAUUCGCCUCUGCUAGGCGGCGUUCCUGCGCAACAACACAAUGGCGGCCUUGGGAUCGCGCUUAGCAAUGGGCUGUCGGCCGCCGCCAUGAAUGGUCUUGAGCACAAACACCAACAGCACCAGCACCAGCACCAGCUGCACCAGCAACAACAGUUGCAAAUGCUGCAGCAUCACCGAUCUCAUCCUCACUUCAGCCACCAAAUGCACCUGCAGCAGACACAACAGCAACCCCCGCAGUCACAGCCACUGACGCCGGCAACGACUCCGACUCUGACUCCGACGCCAAAUUUGACGCUGGCGUCUUCGCAGGCCCAGUCGCAGCCGCAGCCGCAACCGCAGCCGCAACCGCAAAGUAUUGUUAUAUCCUCAGUAUUGAUUAAAAAUGAGCCAGACAUCAGCGUCGCCCAACAACAGCAGCAGCAGCAGCAACAGCAGCAGCAGCAGCAGCAAAGCAGUUCAAGCAGUACUGGCAUUGGAUCGGAUGGUGGAGGCAGCUGCAACACGUCAAUGUCUGUAACUUCCGGCACUGGAGGCCCUGCAACCACAGCUGCAGCUAACACUAACACUAACACGAACAACUGCAUAAGCAGUAUGAGUCAGACUGUAAACGGAAGCGGCCCAUCGGCUGCCACAGUCUCGUCGGUCGUCGACAGCAGUGCUGCCAACGCGAAUGGCGUUGCCGCCGUUACAACCACCGCCACACCCGGCAACGCCGGAGAUUUGCUCGCCAGCGGCCACCAACAACAACUAAUGAUUGGCAUAGGAGGCAGUCAGGCCACGGGUGGCACUGCCGCCACCUCCGUUACCGCCACAUCAGCCGCUACGGGCACCCUGGCUGCGACUAGCAGUGCUGCUAGCGUCACCAACGCUGGAUUGUUGCCCUCAAUCAUGUCCGCGCCGCAGUCAGUAGCUGGCUCAGUUGACUCGGGAUCGAUUGUAUCGCCGUUGGUGAGCGGCGCGAGCACCUCGCAGGUUAUCGCCUGUCUAAACGCGGCCAGCGCCGGUGGUGGCAUAAUUACCUCUGCCGGGCCGUCCACACCCGCAGCCACUAGUCUCACUUCGGCUCUAGUCCCACUGCAUCAGCAGCAGCAGCAGCAGCAGCAGCAAGCCAUCAUUGAUGCCAAAAAUCAACCAAAGCGUUUGCACGUUUCGAAUAUACCAUUUAGAUUUCGUGAUCCCGACCUUCGCGCCAUGUUUGGGCAAUUUGGUACCAUUUUGGAUGUGGAAAUCAUCUUCAAUGAGCGCGGCAGCAAGGGUUUUGGCUUUGUUACGUUCGCAAAUAGCACCGACGCUGAACGAGCACGCGAGCGUCUUCACGGCACUGUGGUUGAGGGACGCAAAAUAGAGGUGAACAACGCCACGGCUCGUGUGCAGACCAAAAAAGUUACAGCUCUUCCAAAUGUUGUACUGACAAAAGACGGUGCCAUACCGGCUCAAGCUCUAGUGUGCGUGCAAUGGCCAGAAGCAACGGUAGCUGCUGCCGCCGCCAUGCGUGGCGUCGCCAUCCAACGCAGUCAUAUGGGAGUUGUAGGGGCGCCAUUCAACCCAGCAUUGGCCGCCGUCGCUGUGGCCGCCCAGCAACAACAGCAUCACCAUCACCAUCAUCACCAGGCACACCACCAUUCGCACCACGCCGCGCAACAAGCGGCGCACCACCAAUUGGGAAUGCAGCAGGCGCUGCACAUGCAGUCCGCAAACGCCACAAAUCAGGCCCAUGCCGCUGCCGCCGCCGCGAUACAGAAUAGCGCCGCCGCCCAGCAGCAACUGCAAUCGCUGGCCCAAUCAGCUGCAGCCGCUGCAGCCAACACUCCGCAGGCGGCCAACGCUGCAGCAGCUGCAUACGCAGCUCGCUUGGGCGCCACAGGCGCGGCCGCACAGACGCCAUCCGCUGCUGCUGCUGCAUCGAUUGCCGCCGCAGCAAAUGCAGCCGGUACCGCCUUGCACGGAUUCACACCCGUUUACUAUGAUCCCUUCUUAGCAGCCGCUGCAGCUUCCGCCGAUCCAAAUUUGCGAUUCCAGGCAGCCAAACCGGUCUCGGAAGUUCCAGCCGCACAGCCAGCAGCCAUUCUAAAUCGCCGCACUGUGACAACGCUAAACAGUUCCCCACAUACGAUCAACCGCAUUCCGGUUCCACAAAACGUUUUGGCUACAGCACCGCUGCUAAAGACUCCGCUGUCUCAAGCACAGCAGGCGUACGCAACGGCUGCCACCACAUAUACGGCUGUGGCGGCUAGGGCUGCUUAUGGCGCUGCUGCCGCCGCUGCACAGCCAGCACUGGCCGGUUACGCCACCGUCGCGGGGUAAGUUUCGCUUGAAAGUGUGCAGACUCUAAUUAUUACGCGCAAAUUCGCAACAUAGCCACUAAUCCUCCACUAAUACCAUCUUCCCUAACUUACGAUUUAUUCCCUCCAACAUUGUAUAUGCAUGUAAUUCAUAUCGUGCAUAUCGAGACCUUACCGUAGUUUAGAUGUAACCAACAAUAAUGCAAUUUUAUAGAAAAAAAAAACUUUACAAAAUUUAGCUACUGCCUUUCCGGAUUUUUAAUCUAUCAAUACAGUUUUUCUAUGGCUUUGGCUUCAGAGAAAAAGCUUCCAGUGUUAGUAAAAAAGUGUGAAUGUAUCGAAACUUGAAGGCAAGUUCUUGGUCGGGUUACGUCGAAUUUAUUAAAGCACAUAACGCUCACAUCGCAUCCAAAAGGAAAAAUCUUUUUAGCAAGGCCCUGUCUGAAAGCGUUUAUUUAGAAGCGCUGCUUAAUUUGCCAACUGGUUUCCUAUUUCUGCCACAUUCAAUUUUUUUUUGUUUUAUUUGCCAUCGUGUUUUUACAUAUAUUUAGUAUAAGACCAAAAAAUCUGCACAACGUACUCCCUCUUCCAAAGAGCCACAGCUAAAAAUCAGAUCCGGAAAUAUAACAGCUUGAACAUAUUCAACGCAAGUAAUACAAAAAUAGGUAUAACAGUUCAUUUAUGAAAAACAUCUACAUACCUAUUUUUUUUAGUUGUUUUGAAAAAUGUGAGUGGUAUGUAUGUUUUUGGUAUCAAUUAUACCAUAAAAUACGCUUAGCUCGGCUAAAAUACAAAUAAAAAUUGUUUUCGAGAUAGGUACUUGGGCACUCUUUUCUAGACUUGAAUGUGAAUCGAAAGCCUCAAGCGCAUUAUUUAUUUCGAACGGGUUACCACCGUGGGCCUAAUUAUCGUUGCCAAUUUACUUAAAAUUAAAAUCGUCGAUUCCCAAAACUAAGCUGUUUUUGUUUAAUCUAUUCGAAAUGUUGUUAAAAAAGACAUUUGCAGAAAUUUGUCUGUAGAACUUGGUUGAUUGGCGAAAUUUCAUAACGAGACAGCCACAUUAUGAGACCUUUAAGAAAAGGAGAUAUCUUGCUUGCGAUCCCGCUAAUUUGGACAACAGACCGUAACUAGGAAUAACGGAGUUUCAUAAUGGUUUUCUCUGAAGGAAGCCGUGAAGAAUUAGGGUUGUCAUUAGAACCAAAGCUUUAGACCUUAAUAUCAAUUUAGUUAGUGAAUUUUUGUUAUUAUUUUUUCCUCUAAUUUUACCCACUGAUUUAAUUUUUUUCUU